ACCGCGUUGAAGCCUUCCUUCAGCGCCCGGAGGAAGACCGUAUCGGCAGGGAACGGCCCCUCGACAUUAAAGCCGAGUGCCCUGGCCUUCUCGACCGCAGGCUCGAUGA
rnacentral:sRNA from 1 species